rnacentral:rRNA from 1 species
GAUGAACGCUGGCGGCGUGCCUAAUACAUGCAAGUCGAGCGAACGGACGAGAAGCUUGCUUCUCUGAUGUUAGCGGCGGACGGGUGAGUAACACGUGGAUAACCUACCUAUAAGACUGGGAUAACUUCGGGAAACCGGAGCUAAUACCGGAUGAUAUUUUGAACCGCAUGGUUCAAAAGUGAAAGACGGUCUUGCUGUCACUUAUAGAUGGAUCCGCACUGCAUUAGCUAGUUGGUAAGGUAACGGCUUACCAAGGCAACGAUGCAUAGCCGACCUGAGAGGGGGAUGGGCCCAACUGGAACGGAGACCGGGCCCAGCCCCCUAGGGGAGGGAGCAGGGGGGAAUUUUCCGCAAUGGGGGAAAGCCUGACGGAGCAACGCCGGGGGGGGGAUGAAGGUUUGGGGAUCGUAAAACUUUUUUAUUGGGGAAAAACAAAUUGGGAAGUAACGGGGCACAUUUUGGGGGUACCAAAUCAAAAAGCCACGGCUAAAUAGGG